GACGAACGCUGGCGGCGUGCUUAACACAUGCAAGUCGAACGGAAAGGCCUGCUUUCCCUUGUGGAUUGCGGGUACUCGAGUGGCGAACGGGUGAGUAACACGUGAGUGAUCUGCCCCCAACUUGGGUAUAAGCCUGGGAAACUGGGUCUAAUUCCCGAUAGGAAUGCAGGGUGGUGCCUGUGGUGGCAAACGAUUUUCUAGUGGUUGGGGAUGAGCUCGCGGCCUAUCAGCUUGGUGGUGGGGUAAUGGCCUACCAAGGCGGCGACGGGUAGCCGGCCUGGGAGGGGGGACGGCCACAUUGGGACUGGGAUACGGCCCAGACUGCAGCGGGAGGCAGCAGUGGGGAGUAUUGGACCAUGGGCGGAAGCCUGAUGCAGCGACGCCGCGUGAGGGAUGACGGCCUUCGGGUUGUAAACUCCUGGCGACCGCGAGGAAGCCACCUGGUUGGAAGGGUGGUGACGGUAGUGGUAGAAGAAGCACCGGCUAACUACGUG
rnacentral:rRNA from 1 species